rnacentral:rRNA from 1 species
CCUGGCUCAGGACGAACGCUGGCGGCGUGCUUAACACAUGCAAGUCGAACGAUGAUGCUCCAGCUUUGUUGGGGUGGAUUAGUGGCGAACGGGUGAGUAACACGUGAGUAACCUGCCCUCUUCUUUGGGAUAACGGUCGGAAACGGCUGCUAAUACUGGAUAUUCACUCAUUGGCGCAUGUUGGUGGGUGGAAAGGUUUUUCUGGUGGGGGAUGGGCUCGCGGCCUAUCAGCUUGUUGGUGGGGUGAUGGCCUACCAAGGCUUUGACGGGUAACCGGCCUGAGAGGGUGACCGGUCACAUUGGGACUGAGAUACGGCCCAGACUCCUACGGGAGGCAGCAGUGGGGAAUUUUGCACAAUGGGCGCAAGCCUGAUGCAGCGACGCCGCGUGAGGGAUGAAGGCCUUCGGGUUGUAAACCUUUUUCGCUCAUGGUCAAGCCGCAGCUUUGGGUUGUGGUGAGGGUAGUGGGUAAAGAAGCGCCGGCUAACUA